UAGGCUGCAACUCGCCUACACGAAGUUGGAAUUGCUAGUAAUCGUGGAUCAGCAUGCCACGGUGAAUACGUUCCCGGGUCUUGUACACACCGCCCGUCACACCAUGGGAGCUGGUAACACCCGAAGUCAGUAGUCUAACCGCAAGGAGGACGCUGCCGAAGGUGGGAUUAGCGACUGGGUGAAGUCGUAACAAGGUAAC
rnacentral:rRNA from 1 species